ACAGGGAUUACCUCAGUAACGGCGAGUGAAGCGGUAACAGCUCAAAUUUGAAAGCUAGCUCUUUUAGGGUUCGCAUUGUAAUUUGUAGAAGAUGCUUCGGGUGUGGCCCCGGUCUAAGUUCCUUGGAACAGGACGUCAUAGAGGGUGAGAAUCCCGUAUGUGACUGGGUGCUUUCGCUCAUGUGAAGCUCUUUCGACGAGUCGAGUUGUUUGGGAAUGCAGCUCAAAAUGGGUGGUAAAUUUCAUCUAAAGCUAAAUAUUGGCCAGAGACCGAUAGCGCACAAGUAGAGUGAUCGAAAGAUGAAAAGCACUUUGGAAAGAGAGUUAAACAGUACGUGAAAUUGUUGAAAGGGAAGCGCUUGCAACCAGACUUGCGCGCUGAUGAUCAUCCGGGCUUCUGUCCGGUGCACUCGUCUGCGCUCAGGCCAGCAUCGGUUUCGGUGGUGGGAUAAAGGCCUUGGGAAUGUAGCUCCUCUCGGGGAGUGUUAUAGCCCUCGGUGCAAUGCCGCCUAUCGGGACCGAGGACCGCGCUUCGGCUAGGAUGCUGGCGUAAUGGUUGUAAGCGACCCGUCUUGAAACACGGACCAAGGAGUCUAACAUCUAUGCGAGUGUUUGGGUGUCAAACCCAUACGCGUAAUGAAAGUGAACGGAGGUGAGAACCCUUAAGGGUGCAUCAUCGACCGGUCCUGAUGUCUUCGGAUGGAUCUGAGUAAGAGCAUAGCUGUUGGGACCCGAAAGAUGGUGAACUAUGCGUGAAUAGGGUGAAGCCAGAGGAAACUCUGGUGGAGGCUCGCAGCGGUUCUGACGUGCAAAUCGAUCGUCAAAUUUGCGUAUAGG
rnacentral:rRNA from 1 species